UAAGGGCGCACGGUGGAUGCCUUGGCACUAGAAGCCGAUGAAGGACGUUACUAACGACGAUAUGCUUUGGGGAGCUGUAAGUAAGCUUUGAUCCAGAGAUUUCCGAAUGGGGAAACCCAGCAUGAGUUAUGUCAUGUUAUCGAUAUGUGAAUACAUAGCAUAUCAGAAGGCACACCCGGAGAACUGAAACAUCUUAGUACCCGGAGGAAGAGAAAGAAAAUUCGAUUCCCUUAGUAGCGGCGAGCGAAACGGGAAGAGCCCAAACCAACAAGCUUGCUUGUUGGGGUUGUAGGACACUCUAUACGGAGUUACAAAGGACGACAUUAGACGAAUCAUCUGGAAAGAUGAAUCAAAGAAGGUAAUAAUCCUGUAGUCGAAAAUGUUGUCUCUCUUGAGUGGAUCCUGAGUACGACGGAGCACGUGAAAUUCCGUCGGAAUCUGGGAGGACCAUCUCCUAAGGCUAAAUACUCUCUAGUGACCGAUAGUGAACCAGUACCGUGAGGGAAAGGUGAAAAGCACCCCGGAAGGGGAGUGAAAUAGAACCUGAAACCGUGUGCUUACAAGUAGUCAGAGCCCGUUAAUGGGUGAUGGCGUGCCUUUUGUAGAAUGAACCGGCGAGUUACGAUUUGAUGCAAGGUUAAGCAGUAAAUGUGGAGCCGUAGCGAAAGCGAGUCUGAAUAGGGCGUUUAGUAUUUGGUCGUAGACCCGAAACCAGGUGAUCUACCCUUGGUCAGGUUGAAGUUCAGGUAACACUGAAUGGAGGACCGAACCGACUUACGUUGAAAAGUGAGCGGAUGAACUGAGGGUAGCGGAGAAAUUCCAAUCGAACCUGGAGAUAGCUGGUUCUCUCCGAAAUAGCUUUAGGGCUAGCCUCAAGUGAUGAUUAUUGGAGGUAGAGCACUGUUUGGACGAGGGGCCCCUCUCGGGUUACCGAAUUCAGACAAACUCCGAAUGCCAAUUAAUUUAACUUGGGAGUCAGAACAUGGGUGAUAAGGUCCGUGUUCGAAAGGGAAACAGCCCAGACCACCAGCUAAGGUCCCAAAAUAUAUGUUAAGUGGAAAAGGAUGUGGCGUUGCCCAGACAACUAGGAUGUUGGCUUAGAAGCAGCCAUCAUUUAAAGAGUGCGUAAUAGCUCACUAGUCGAGUGACACUGCGCCGAAAAUGUACCGGGGCUAAACAUAUUACCGAAGCUGUGGAUUGUCCUUUGGACAAUGGUAGGAGAGCGUUCUAAGGGCGUUGAAGCAUGAUCGUAAGGACAUGUGGAGCGCUUAGAAGUGAGAAUGCCGGUGUGAGUAGCGAAAGACGGGUGAGAAUCCCGUCCACCGAUUGACUAAGGUUUCCAGAGGAAGGCUCGUCCGCUCUGGGUUAGUCGGGUCCUAAGCUGAGGCCGACAGGCGUAGGCGAUGGAUAACAGGUUGAUAUUCCUGUACCACCUAUAAUCGUUUUAAUCGAUGGGGGGACGCAGUAGGAUAGGCGAAGCGUGCGAUUGGAUUGCACGUCUAAGCAGUAAGGCUGAGUAUUAGGCAAAUCCGGUACUCAUUAAGGCUGAGCUGUGAUGGGGAGAAGACAUUGUGUCUUCGAGUCGUUGAUUUCACACUGCCGAGAAAAGCCUCUAGAUAGAAAAUAGGUGCCCGUACCGCAAACCGACACAGGUAGUCAAGAUGAGAAUUCUAAGGUGAGCGAGCGAACUCUCGUUAAGGAACUCGGCAAAAUGACCCCGUAACUUCGGGAGAAGGGGUGCUCUUUAGGGUUAACGCCCAGAAGAGCCGCAGUGAAUAGGCCCAAGCGACUGUUUAUCAAAAACACAGGUCUCUGCUAAACCGUAAGGUGAUGUAUAGGGGCUGACGCCUGCCCGGUGCUGGAAGGUUAAGAGGAGUGGUUAGCUUCUGCGAAGCUACGAAUCGAAGCCCCAGUAAACGGCGGCCGUAACUAUAACGGUCCUAAGGUAGCGAAAUUCCUUGUCGGGUAAGUUCCGACCCGCACGAAAGGCGUAACGAUUUGGGCACUGUCUCAACGAGAGACUCGGUGAAAUCAUAGUACCUGUGAAGAUGCAGGUUACCCGCGACAGGACGGAAAGACCCCGUGGAGCUUUACUGUAGCCUGAUAUUGAAAUUCGGCACAGCUUGUACAGGAUAGGUAGGAGCCUUUGAAACGUGAGCGCUAGCUUACGUGGAGGCGCUGGUGGGAUACUACCCUAGCUGUGUUGGCUUUCUAACCCGCACCACUUAUCGUGGUGGGAGACAGUGUCAGGCGGGCAGUUUGACUGGGGCGGUCGCCUCCUAAAAGGUAACGGAGGCGCUCAAAGGUUCCCUCAGAAUGGUUGGAAAUCAUUCAUAGAGUGUAAAGGCAUAAGGGAGCUUGACUGCGAGACCUACAAGUCGAGCAGGGUCGAAAGACGGACUUAGUGAUCCGGUGGUUCCGCAUGGAAGGGCCAUCGCUCAACGGAUAAAAGCUACCCCGGGGAUAACAGGCUUAUCUCCCCCAAGAGUUCACAUCGACGGGGAGGUUUGGCACCUCGAUGUCGGCUCAUCGCAUCCUGGGGCUGUAGUCGGUCCCAAGGGUUGGGCUGUUCGCCCAUUAAAGCGGUACGCGAGCUGGGUUCAGAACGUCGUGAGACAGUUCGGUCCCUAUCCGUCGUGGGCGUAGGAAAUUUGAGAGGAGCUGUCCUUAGUACGAGAGGACCGGGAUGGACAUACCUCUGGUGUACCAGUUGUCGUGCCAACGGCAUAGCUGGGUAGCUAUGUGUGGACGGGAUAAGUGCUG
rnacentral:rRNA from 1 species